rnacentral:rRNA from 1 species
ACAGCAGUAGCCGCGGUAAUACGUAGGGUGCAAGCGUUAAUCGGAAUUACUGGGCGUAAAGCGUGCGCAGGCGGUUAUAUAAGUCAGAUGUGAAAUCCCCGGGCUCAACCUGGGAACUGCAUUUGAGACUGUAUGGCUAGAGUGUGUCAGAGGGGGGUAGAACUCCACGUGUAGCAGUGAAAUGCGUAGAUAUGUGGAGGAAUACCGAUGGCGAAGGCAGCCCCCUGGGAUAACACUGACGCUCAUGCACGAAAGCGUGGGGAGCAAACAGGAUUAGAUACCCCUGUAGUCCCUGUCUCUUAUAC